UAAAACCUUCUCCAAUCCAACACUAAAAAUCACACUAUUUUAGUGUAACACUAUAAUUUUACACCAAAUUUGGUGUGACACUAUUCACCACACUAAAACACUAUUCACUCCACUAAAAUACUAUUCACUUAUUUUAUUAAUAAAUUAUAUUAUUAAAAACGAAAAUUUAAAUAAAUUAAAUAAAUAUAAUAUUAUAAAAUAGCUUUUUUAGUGUGAAGUUUAGUGUUGUGGUUGGAGAUGAAUUUGUUUUUAGUGUUGAAACUACACUAAAAUAGUGU
rnacentral:lncRNA from 1 species